AUGCUGCGCUGGCUGUCCGGAGGAAGAGGACCUGAGCAGCGGACUUCAACUUAUGAAUGGAUUUCUGCUGUUGAGAUAUUUCCGUAUGAUGAGGAAAGUUCUCUGUAUAAAUAUAUCCCUGCUUUGGAAAUAAAAAAGCUGCAGGAACAGAAUGCCAGCCUUCGGGCUGCUAUUGCACAAAUGAGGAAAGAAAUGGAGAGUCUUGAUGAGCAGAUGUUGUCUUCUCUUCCUCAAACAGAAGACAGACAGUUUGCAGAGCAAGGUUCAUUAGACACAAACAAAAUUUCAACUGGAACCACACUGAGCAACAUCAAAGUCAAUUCAGCUAAGUUGGAUUGUUUAGUAAACCCAGACAUGGAAGAGGGGCCAGAACCCAAAGUUCUUGAAGAAAACAUGGUCAAUUUUGGACAACAGCUACCCGAUGAGUCUGGCAUCCUGUUAGCUCUAAACACUGCACAGUUUGUAUUGCCUCUGGUAGUCUUCUUCCAAGAGAACUUGUCAAAAGAACACAGUGUCAGCUAUCAGUUCUAA
rnacentral:lncRNA from 1 species